AGUGUCUGGAUUUAUUGUCAGCAGAUGACAUGGAUCCCUAAGUGGACCAGUCCUUGGCUGGCCUUUCCUUCAGUUUCUGCUCCAUUCUUUCCCCCGGCAUUUCUUAUGACAGGAGGAAUUCUAGAUUAGUAGUUUGAGGUGGGUGUGUUGUCCCUCCCUCAACUAGGGGCCAUGUCUAUCCACUGGAUGUAGUCUCUUCAGGUUCUAUCUCCCCUUUGUUAGGUAUUUUGGCUAAAGUCUUUCCCUUUGGGCCCUGGGACUCUCGAGUGGCUACCCUCACUUCUCCUUACCCCACUGCUACACACCUUUCAAAUUAUUGACCCUCUGUACUUCUUUCCCAUCUUCUCCUAUAUCUAAACUGGUCCCCUUUUUGCUCCUCCUCCUCUCUCUCUUCCAGAAUCCUUUGGAUCUCUGCUUGUCAGAGAUUAUUCUCUUCCUCCUACUGGUUAGUACUGUAGCAUUUACACUUUGGUGUGAUCGUCUUUCUUCUUGGGUUUCAUAGGGUCUGUGAGUUGUAUCAUGGGCAUUUAAUCAUACCUCUCUCGUUGGUUGGUUUUAAUCAUAUCACAUCUUCAAUUUCCUAGGCAUUUUGUCACUAUUUGGCAUGAGCUCCCUUUCCUGGCAUGUGCCUCAAAUUAGAUCAGUCGUUAGUUGGCCACUCCCACAAGUUCUGCUUCUGCAUUGUGUCAGCACAUCUUGCAGUUAAGAUACAAAGUAGGACUCAAAUUUUGUGGAUGGAUUGGUGUCCCAGUCCAACCACCAGAAGCCUUGCUUGUUUACAGUCAAUGGCAUGCCCAGCCUUCAAAUUCUUCUUACCAGGCCUCCUAAUUGAUUCCUGGAAGUUUCUACUGCACUAGGUUUUUAUAUGGCCACUCAAAAUGCCUUUCAAUGACCUCAUACUCUCCUUUCAUUCUUCCCCAAUCACCUGAUCUCUUCUGUCCCCAUCCCUACCCACCCCAAAGAACAUUCCCCAAAAAUCUGUUCUAUUUCUUCUUUCUAAGGAAACCCAUGUGUCUCCCUUAGAGUCUUUCUUGCUAUAUAGCCUUUCUGGGUCUGUAGACGUAGCAUGAGUGUCAAUUACUUAUCAGUUAAAAUGAUCAAUGGGGGAAACUCAAAUGGCUGAGGAGCACACAAAGAGACGUUCAACAUCCUUGGCCGACAGGGAGAUACAAAUCAGUACUACUUUGAGAUUCCAUCUUAACAACUCUCAGGAUGGCUGAGGUUUCACCAUUAUCAAACUCUUGUGCAUUUGAUGCUUGCCUAUGGCGAGGCAGUGGCCCCUACUUGUUUAAGAUGGAGAAACAUCAGGACUACAUUAAGGAAGGAAUGUUUUAUUUAAAGCCUCCGUUGGUAACACACUACCCUAUUUCCCCUUACAAUUUGCUCACUCUAAUUGUUAAAACAUUUCCUGCUAUUUCUGAGCUGUGGAGACCACAAAAAUGUACAGAUGAUGCUCGACCAGGUCUACAUAGAGGAGCAAGUUUGUCUUUCAUCUGUCUUUUAAAAGUGUUUGAGACACUUCUUGGAUUACUUGUUCCUCUUUUACUACUACUUGUUAUUUAGAACUAACCUCCUUAAUGAUACAGGUUUUUAACUGAGUAGUUAGUGAGUCCUCAACGUUCGGAAAGUUUCGAGUGAAAUUCAGCAAGACAGAACACAGACAAGCAAACCCACCAGUAGAUGUAUAGGAAGAAAUGUAGCUGCAAAACUGAUUGCAGUGUGAACUGGGGAUUGUUGGACUCUAUUCCCUGAUUUAUAGUUCUAUUUUAAAGAAUGUAAAAUGCUAUCUCACUUUUAAAAUUUGGGGUAUCUGUUGUAAUUUAAUUUUCAAGGUGAAUUACAAACAAGGAGAAAUUCUUUUAUCAGAUAUUUAGAAACUAAUGGCAUUCUCGAUUAUUUGACAAAACUUUUAAGUACCUAAAUAACAUUAUUAAUCUUAACAGAAUCCAGUUCCAUUUCAGGCAUAAGAUUCUACUUCCGGAGAACAAUUACAUGUGUUAAGAUUUAACUAAAUUUUCCUACUGCCCUGCGUUCUCAAUUUUCUCUGUAUAUCUCAUAUCUCUCAGAGCUCCCAACAUGAGAAAUGAGAAAUGAAAGUAAAUCAAUACCCAGAUGUGUCAAACAUAUUUUAAUCAAGUUUCUCUGUGAAAGAAGACAAUUGUUUUGUGAAGCAUUCCGAACAUAAUAGACUUUAUGAUGGCAUGAAGGAUGAGCUCUGGGGUCCUAUUCAUGUUUGACAUUCUAUAAAGGGCUGAGAAAACACUUUUUGAAGGAAGAUCAACAAGAUAAAAAAGUUUCACACCUAAGUGAACUGAGAAAAUGCCCUCUGCUUCCUUCUGUGGUGUCAGGAAGAAAUUCAAACCGUACAUGCCCUUCUCCAAAAGCAUCUACCCCACUUAUUGUCUUGUGUAGCCACAAUGGGGAGGGGAAAAAUAAGGUUUGAAGCAAAACACACAGUAAGCCAAUAUUCCUGUUCAAAGUGUCACACCAUGAAAUGCCAUCAACAUUUCAAGUUCAGAAGAUGUUAUCGAGAUUUUUAAAUGACAACAAGACAGAAGUACCAUUCGGGGCAUAAGAAUUCCGGUAUUUGGAUUAUUGUUUCUUUUAAGAAAGUGAUCUAACGUGCAUCUCAUUUAUAUUUCAUGCAAUUUUUACAAAAUGUUUACUGACUCACAUUGAUUGAUUUUCAUGGCUGAAGUGUUGCAGAUAUUUCGUUAUUGUUUCCCUAUUAGUAUGAGAUAUGAGAUGUUUGCUGUUUACUUUUACCCAUUUCAUUUACUGUGCUUAUCAUUUAUCAUAUUGGUUUUAUUUACUUUUUAAUCAUUUUUCUUCUGUCUUGUUUUUUUUUAUUUAACCUGAAGUUUCCAAUAAUUACAUGAGUGUAAUGGUUAACUGUGGACACUAAUUUUACCACAGCGAAUAAUAUCUUCAACACUGAUAAAGCAUAAUUGUGAGUAGAAUUUUGAGGCUGUUUCCAGUGUUUGCCCUAUGAAGCUGAAUGGAAUAGGAGAGAGAAUAUGCUGUCAAGUAGCACUCAACAUUAAAUCAUCUGCCAAAGCCAAUAGCUUGUGGAAAUAUGUUAUUAUAGUCAUAUUUCAAUCAGCCAGUCUUGGCCCUGGAUAUUAGACCUCUAGGCCUGGAAAGGGAUCCAUAUCUAG
rnacentral:sRNA from 1 species